rnacentral:rRNA from 1 species
AACGAACGCUGGCGGCAGGCCUAACACAUGCCAGUCGAGCGCACCCUUCGGGGUGAGCGGCGGACGGGUGAGUAACGCGUGGGAACGUGCCCUUCUCUGCGGAAUAGCCUCGGGAAACUGAGAGUAAUACCGCAUACGCCCUUUGGGGGAAAGAUUUAUCGGAGAAGGAUCGGCCCGCGUUGGAUUAGGUGGUUGGUGGGGUAAUGGCCCACCAAGCCGACGAUCCAUAGCUGGUUUGAGAGGAUGAGCAGCCACACUGGGACUGGGACACGGCCCAGAAUCCUACGGGAGGCAGCAGUGGGGAAUCUUAGACAAUGGGGGCAACCCUGAUCUAGCCAUGCCGCGUGAGUGAUGAAGGCCUUAGGGUUGUAAAGCUCUUUCAGCUGGGAAGAUAAUGACGGUACCAGCAGAAGAAGCCCCGGCUAACUCCGUG